CUGUCACUUUAUUCCAUCGCGUUUCCAACAGAAGAUGAGACAACAGAGGUUACAUAUAUCUGGAUAUUGGUCGGAAAGAUAAAAACUUGUUUGGUGGUCCGGCCAGUCAUAGGUUCAAAAUUCAGAGCAAACAAGCUGGUAAAAAAUGUCAACCAUUUCACAUUUGCAGAACCUCUGCAUCAAUAAUAUCUUAUCACAUAUAUAUAUAUAUAUUCCCACCAAACCCAACAACCCUUCGUCUCCUUGCUCACCUCACCUGUGUCGUAGCUUGGAACCUUGGACAACUGUAAAGAAAUACGUAUCACCGGAAAGCUUGAAACCUGAAUUUAUGUCGGCCCCUUCUUCCUUCCUGUCAACAGUACCAAAU
rnacentral:lncRNA from 1 species